rnacentral:rRNA from 1 species
UGGCGGCGUGCCUAACACAUGCAAGUCGCACGAGAAAGUGGAGCAAUCCAUGAGUAAAGUGGCGUACGGGUGAGUAACACGUGACUACCUGCCCUCGAGUGGGGAAUAACUUCGGGAAACCGAGGCUAAUACCGCAUAACAUCGAGAGAUCAAAGCAGCAAUGCGCUUGAGGAGGGGGUCGCGCCUGAUUAGCUAGUUGGUAGGGUAACGGCCUACCAAGGCGAUGAUCAGUAGCCGGCCUGAGAGGGCGCACGGCCACACUGGAACUGAAACACGGUCCAGACUCCUACGGGAGGCAGCAGUGGGGAAUUUUGCGCAAUGGGGGAAACCCUGACGCAGCAACGCCGCGUGGAGGAUGAAGUCCCUUGGGACGUAAACUCCUUUCGAUCGGGACGAUUAUGACGGUACCGGAAGAAGAAGCCCCGGCUAACUUCGUGCCAGCAGCCGCGGUAAUACGAGGGGGGCAAGCGUUGUUCGGAAUUAUUGGGCGUAAAGGGCGCGUANGCGGUGCGGUAAGUCUGAUGUGAAACCUCCGGGCUCAACUCGG